GGGGCUGACCUGGCUAUUGACAGCUGGUAAAUUGUUGUGUAAGCAUGCCGAGCUAAGUAUUUUAACUCGUUAAACUGAAAUGCAAACCAAUAAUCGGCGAAUCUAAUUACGCGCUUGCUGCUUAAUUUCACUUAGUGAAUUAACUUUAUUCCUUCUCUAGGAGUUGGAACGAGCUGCCUCUCAGAGCCUGCUCCCGGCUGGUUAUGAAUCAGAGGCACCGAAAUCGCAGGGAUAGUUUUGCCUGUUCCUUGGUGGCAUUACGAAAACAAAAAGGAUAAGGAUUGAUUUGGUUGCCCAUUGCCGGAUCCUUCACGAAAAACAAGUUUGGGAUAUGUAUGUAGAAAGCACAUGAGUUUCCUGUUUGGACCGGGGUUCGACUCCCCGCAGCUCCACAU
rnacentral:tmRNA from 2 species